rnacentral:lncRNA from 1 species
CCUGGAGGCACCAUAGGUUAUAUGCAGAAACUAGUUUGCUUAAAUAGGAGGCUUGAUUGGACACAGAUUUGAGCAUUUGGAUCCCCCAAGAAUAUCAAGGGACAACUACAACACAGUUUGUAUUUUCUAGAAUUGUUUUCAUAAACAGCAGUGUACAACAUAUAAUACUAUCGAGGGGGGAGGCUGAUAUCUUUAACCCAUUGAGAUUCACCAGUGCUGUAAUAAUAUCCGUUAACCAUUUAUCCUCUCUUAUUCCUAAGUAGUUUUCUGUUUGAAACAACCUUGUGUACCACAGAUCUAAGACCUGAGAAGAUAAAGGAUGUUUGAAGGUUUGGGCUCGCCACUACAGCAACGGGUACUUUUCCUGUACUAAGAAGUAAAUUUAUUUUUGUCUAAAAAUUAAGACUAUAGUGACAGUCACUUACUAUUCUGUAAUGCUAAAGCGGAUUUGGCAGCAUCCCUGUGACUUGGGACUCUGAAGAGCAAGAGGAAAGAGACCGUUGUCCCACCAAGACACUUUUGAGCCCAUUUGGAAUUUGUUUCCUUGUGGUGUAAAAAUGCACUGAAGGGUCCAGUCUCCAUUGUGGUUUUUGAUUCUGCUUUGGAAAUCACUAAAAAUGAAAAGUGUUGGGUCUGGCUCAGCAGUUAAGAGCGCUGACUGCUCUUCCGAAGGUCAUGAGUUCAAAUCCUAGCAACCACAUGGUGGCUCACAACCAUCUGGAAUGAGAGACAAAAAGAAAAAAGUAAAAAAAAAAAAAAAAAAAAAAAAAAAGGAAAGUGUUCUGCAGGUACAAUUAGAGCUAACCGCGCAUACGGCCAUAGUUCACUCCCUCACUGCGCAUGCACCAGACGGCACGCUGGACGUGCAGAGCGGAUCUGAGACUACAGGAGAGCUUGUUUCACCGCCAAAUCCUACGGGACCGACAAGUGCCAUGGCUGGGUAGUUUCAGAGCAAAUUUCUUAAGAAUAAAUGAGACAUCAAAGAAGCAGCAUAGAGAUCAAGACAUAUAGAUCAGGACGGUGAUCUAGACUGCGCUGUUACAGGGGUGGAAGUGAGAAAACAGUAGCCAUGUGUCUAUGGUGGCAGAGGAAGGGUUCUGAGACGAUGCCUCAUUGGCAGUCACAGGAUGAAAUGUCACUGCCCCUGUGUGGAACAGUGAGGAAGACUGAAAGGUGUAAGGGGCACACAGGUUCAUGUGCCUUGGGUGUUCCCACUGGUGCUGGCUGUACCCCAAAAGGGUUGUUCUAAGUAGAUGAGAGUGGCCUGGACAAAAAAAAAAAUGGUUCUUAAGAAAAAACAAAGCACUUUGCUUGUCAGAACAGAGAAUGAGUAGAAAAAUAUCAGGUUUCCAGAUUGAAUGACUGAGGUACAGAUUAUAAUUAAAAAAGCAAAACACUUCCUUAGAAAGAAAGGGAUCUAGUGGGGGCAAUUUCCAAAGAAAAUAUGACUGGAGAGUUCAUCUGCCAAUUUCCAUUAGUGUAUAUUCUACUGUGAAGCUUGUGGGGGAGGACUUUGAACACAGCCUUUCUGGGAGGCCAUGGAUUCUCAGCAGAAGGUAGUCAGAGUCUGCCUGCAGUCAAGAAGGAAGCUGGAACCAUAGAUCAGUGGCUUUCAACCUUUCUCAUGCUGAGACCCUUUAAUACAGUUUCUCACGCAGUUGUGAUCCCGCUAUAAAGGUACUCACAAGUUUGUGAGUAAGGAAAGUGAUUCAACAAGAAAGCUAGAGUGAAUCUCCAUCCUCCAGAGUGAAUCUCUGUCCUCCAGGAGGCAGCAGUUGUCACACAAGGAAGGAAAUGGCAGAUGUUCUUGAACAAUAAUGAAUGAGGCUAUGGAGAUGUCGCUGUGAACAACCAGAAACGUGGCCUGAGCUCUGGAGCCAUGAACUGCACAGUGUUUAUAAGCAGUGUUUAGGAUGGAGGUACACUGAAGGCCUGCUCACCUACUAAAUAACAGUUUCUCUCCCCCAAGGCCAAGACAGUAAAGAUAUAAGAAGAUGAGUCCAUGGAUAGCUGGGUUGGGAUAAGAGUGGAUCGGUGAAGAUGUUGGACUUGACCACGGCAGACAGGGUGUAGUGGUAAACGGAGACCUGACUACUUUAAAGGUGGCAUUGCUCUGUGACACUGUUGGAAAACUGUGCUACUCAAACAAAGCCCAGGAGGACAUUUGGUCAACCCAGACUGCAGCUAGGCCAGGCUGCCUGCUUUCAGACACGUACAAAAAUAAAGAGCUUUCCCAAGAAAUUCUCCCUUUUUUUGUUUUGUUUGCUUUUCCAAAUGGCUUACAAGUUCACAGUUUGUUAUGAUGAGAGUCUUCCCAGGAAUCCACACCCACUCCAUUUAGGACUAGUACUGGCUGUGGGAUCUCCAGUCACACCCAAGCUCUUUCCUACCUACUCCCUGAGACUCUUGGAGGCCCUUGUUUGCAUUUCCAAUGGGCUGAAAUCCAUCCUCAGAAAGACCUCAUAUCCUCCCUUUCCCUGGUUCAUAUUCCCACGCUGGAAUUUUUCCCUGCAAUG